UGUAGAGGCAGACCAGGGGAACUGAAACAUCUAAGUACCCUGAGGAAGAGAAAACAAUAGUGAUUCCGUCAGUAGCGGCGAGCGAACGCGGAACAGCCUAAACCUAAGAGCUUGCUCUUAGGGGUUGUGGGACGUCUCACAUGGAGUUACAAAGGAAUAUGGUAGGUGAAGAGGUCUGGAAAGGCCCGCGAUAGAGGUAAAAGCCCUGUAGCCUAAACUGUGUUCUCUCCGAGACGGAUCCCGAGUAGUGCGGGGCACGUGAAACCCCGUAUGAAUCCAGCAGGACCAUCUGCUAAGGCUAAAUACUACCUGGCGACCGAUAGUGAAACAGUACCGUGAGGGAAAGGUGAAAAGCACCCCGGAAGGGGAGUGAAAUAGAACCUGAAACCGUGUGCUUACAAAAAGUCAGAGCCCUAUUUAUGGGUGAUGGCGUGCCUUUUGUAGAAUGAACCGGCGAGUUACGUUUAACAUGCAAGGUUAAGCCGAGAAGGUGAGUAUGUGGACGUAGACCCGAAACCGUGUGAUCUACCCCUGUCCAGGGUGAAGGUGCGGUAACACGCACUGGAGGCCCGAACCCACGUACGUUGAAAAGUGCGGGGAUGAGGUGGGGGUAGCGGAGAAAUUCCAAUCGAACUCGGAGAUAGCUGGUUCUCCCCGAAAUAGCUUUAGGGCUAGCCUCGGUAUAAGAGUAGUGGAGGUAGAGCACUGAUUGGGUGCGGGGUCCGCAAGGAUUACCAAGCUCAGUCAAACUCCGAAUGCCAUAUACUUAUUGCCGGGAGUCAGACAGUGAGUGCUAAGAUCCAUUGUCAAAAGGGAAACAGCCCAGACCAUCAGCUAAGGUCCCCAAGUGUGUGUUAAGUGGGAAAGGAUGUGGAGUUGCACAGACAACCAGGAUGUUGGCUUAGAAGCAGCCACCAUUGAAAGAGUGCGUAAUAGCUCACUGGUCGAGUGACUCUGCGCCGAAAAUGUAACGGGGCUAAACACACCACCGAAGCUAUGGCUAGAUACUAUGUAUCUGGGGUAGGGGAGCGUUGUAUGUGGGUUGAAGGUGUACCGUAAGGAGCGCUGGACAGCAUACAAGUGAGAAUGCCGGUAUGAGUAACGAAAAGAUCAGUGAGAAUCUGAUCCGCCGAAAGCCCAAGGUUUCCUGAGGAAGGCUCGUCCGCUCAGGGUAAGUCGGGACCUAAGGCGAGGCCGAAAGGCGUAGUCGAAGGACAACAGUUUGAAAUUACUGUACCACCGUAAUCCGCUAUGAGCGAUGGGGUGACGCAGGAGGGUAGUGACGCGGACUGAUGGAUAUGUCCGUCUAAGCAGUGAGGCUGAUGUGUAGGCAAAUCCGCACAUCAUUAAGGCUGGGCUGUGAUGGGGAGCGAAAAUUGUAGUAGCGAAGGUCAUGAUCUCACACUGCCAAGAAAAGCCUCUAGCCAGGAGAAGGUGCCCGUACCGCAAACCGACACAGGUAGGCGAGAAGAGAAUUCUAAGGCGCGCGGAAGAACUCUCGUUAAGGAACUCGGCAAAAUGACCCCGUAACUUCGGGAGAAGGGGUGCCCCGGUAGUGUGAAUAGCACGAGGGGGCCGCAGUGAAAAGGCCCAAGCGACUGUUUAGCAAAAACACAGGUCUGUGCGAAGCCGCAAGGCGAAGUAUACGGGCUGACGCCUGCCCGGUGCUGGAAGGUUAAGGGGAGUGGUUAGGGGUAACCCGAAGCUAUGAACCGAAGCCCCAGUAAACGGCGGCCGUAACUAUAACGGUCCUAAGGUAGCGAAAUUCCUUGUCAGGUAAAUUCUGACCCGCACGAAUGGCGUAACGACUUGGGCGCUGUCUCAACGAGAGAUCCGGUGAAAUUUUAAUACCUGUGAAGAUGCAGGUUACCCGCGACAAGACGGAAAGACCCCAUGGAGCUUUACUGCAGCUUGAUAUUGAAUUUGGGUACGAUCUGUACAGGAUAGGUGGGAGCCGUAGAAAUCGGAGCGCAAGCUUCGGUGGAGGCGCCGUUGGGAUACCACCCUGAUCGUAUCUAGGUUCUAACCUAGUGCCCUUAUCGGGUACGGGGACCGUGUCAGGCGGGCAGUUUGACUGGGGCGGUCGCCUCCUAAAGAGUAACGGAGGCGUUCCAAGGUUCCCUCAGAAUGGUUGGAAAUCAUUCGAAGAGUGCAAAGGCAUAAGGGAGCUUGACUGCGAGACCUACAAGUCGAGCAGGGACGAAAGUCGGACUUAGUGAUCCGGUGGUACCGCAUGGAAGGGCCAUCGCUCAACGGAUAAAAGCUACCCUGGGGAUAACAGGCUUAUCUCCCCCAAGAGUCCACAUCGACGGGGAGGUUUGGCACCUCGAUGUCGGCUCAUCGCAUCCUGGGGCUGAAGUAGGUCCCAAGGGUUGGGCUGUUCGCCCAUUAAAGCGGUACGCGAGCUGGGUUCAGAACGUCGUGAGACAGUUCGGUCCCUAUCUGUCGUGGGCGCAGGAAAUUUGAGAGGAGCUGUCCUUAGUACGAGAGGACCGGGAUGGACGUACCGCUGGUGCACCAGUUGUUUCGCCAGAAGCAUGGCUGGGUAGCUACGUACGGACGGGAUAAGCGCUGAAAGCAUCUAAGCGUGAAGCCCCCCUCAAGAUGAGAUUUCCCAAUUAGUAAGACCCCUUGAAGACGACGAGGUAGAUAGGUUGGAGGUGGAAGUGCAGUAAUGCAUGGAGCUGACCAAUACUAAUCGGUCGAGGGCUUAUCCUA
rnacentral:rRNA from 1 species